rnacentral:lncRNA from 1 species
GCACCCUGAAGGCUUCCUGUUGCUGCCCAUAGGGCACCAAGUGUUGAGUGCUUUCUACUUGAAGCUGUGCUCAGUUUGAAGAGCACAGGUUUGUGGAUGGAGAGAUAAGCCUUGGGCAUAGUCAACAGAUCAACAGAAGUGCUGAGUGCCUUUAUAUAAUUCUCUAAAAUAAGCAGGAUAGGUUCUAUUUUUCCAUCUUUGUAGAUGAAAUAAACAUACUGUCAAAGAGAGGAGCCAUUUACCCAGAGUCACACAGCACGUAAGAGGCAGAGACAGCAUUUGAACCCAGGUUGGUCUGAUUCCAAAAUCCACAUCCCCUUUCUCUACCCAGCACCUCAAAUACACCAUCACAGAGGCCCGGGAGCUCUAAGAAGUCAGAUUCUUAGAUCUUACCAUUGGCGGCCAUGUCUGCCUGUUCAGCUCUAGAAGUGAGCCAGAACUUUUUCUAGAGCUUCCCAGGUGAUAUCACAAAGUCCCAGGGUGAUGGCAUCCUGGGAUGGGAAGUGAUUUUCUAGCAUGCUUAUCAAGAAGAAAGUCAGAGAGGGCCUCCAUAAGCAUGGGUGUGGUAGCUUGGGCUAUGUAUGGAGGGCGGUGGCGCUUCAAACAAACAAACAAACAAACAAACAAACAAACAAAACAAAGACAUCGGGAGCUCAUGGCAGAGACAGGUUCCUCUGGCUGACUUGGGCCUUCAGGAUCUGUACCCAUUGGUGCCGGGCCUCCUUUGACUUCAUUUGAUGGCCAGGCGAUGAGAGGAGCAGACAUAUGGAUUAGUGUCCCAGCCCAGGCUCUGUCCUUUUUUUUUUUUUUGGUUUUUCAAGACAGGGUUUCUCUGUAUAGCCCUGGCUGUCCUGGAACUCACUUUGUAGACCAGGCUGGCCUCGAACUCAGAAAUCCUCCUGCCUCCGCCUCCCAAGUGCUGGGAUUAAAGGCAUGCGCCACCGCCCGGCCGGCUCUGUCCUUUUAACCUAUGCCGCUCCGCUGUGCUUCUUGGCCCCUGGGAUGUCUUCAGUUGAAACCGUCCCUCUAUCUUUUCCCAGACUCCAUGCUCAUUUAUAAGACAGCUCUUGUUUCUCCUUGGACAUUUAACCUCUGUGUUCUACCACAUGUUUCUGCCACUUACACCUCAAAGCUGAGGGACCUCGUAAGUGAACAGGCCAGAACACAGGGCCAUCGAUGACACCAGAUGUGUGUUGGCUCUGAGGCUGCUGCGUUGAGCUCUGUCUUCGGCUCAGGUGCAGAGUGUGUGAACAGUUGGCAGUGUCUGCUGUGGACUUGGUGGGGGGCCACAUGGGUCCUGUCUGUGUUGGAUCAGGAAGAACGGUGACCAUGGUGUCUUCCUUCAAGCCUACCCUGCCCCCUUCAACUGGCAUCACUGGCUGGGACCUGGGGAGCAGUUUGCCAUCUCUUUCUUUUUCAGUCCAGUGACAGACACAGAGCUGAGCCAUAACUUCCUCAGCUUACAGCUUCUGCCCACCUCCAACUCUAUCCCACCCCACUUCUUCAUGGUGGAAGCUGUCAGCCCCCUCUUAGAGGAAAAAGGAGAGGGGAUCUACUCUAACCUCCCAUCAUCUGGUUUUCCUCUACGCUGAGUAGAGCAGGUGGAAUCUUUACAUACAGGUUCUCUGACCCGAAGGUUUGGUCAGUCUCCAGUGAGGACAGUUGCCUAGAACCAGCCCCAUGAAGAGGUGACGGACUCAUCCUCUGGCCCUUUGCCACAGCCUGGUCCUGGGCAGGUCACUCGGCUUGUGGAUUGGCUGGUUUUGCACCCCAGGGGCAUUAUAAAUUACCUGGCACACUACACAUUUUGACAGAAGGAGCUUUGGUUGUCCAAGCCCCUGGGAGCCAGAAUGCCAUCUCUGCCCUUCAUUAGUCUCAAAGUCAUAAGCUCCCAGAGGGCAGGAGACACACCCGUGGGGCGAGUUUGACACAAUAGAUCUCAUUUAGAGGCCAUGCCACACGGGAGGACAAGGCUGGCGGGAUGAGCAGAUGCAGCACUAUUUGGGGUGGUUUGCAGUGAACGGGAGGGACACCUUGAGGGAUGUCUCUCUUUCAGAGCUGAGAACCCCUGUCUGUGGCGCCAGGAUGUCUGGGGGCCAAAAGAAUCUCUGAGUGAAUCAAUUGUCUUGCUUAGGCUAAUACUGAGAACAGUCCAGGUGGCUGCAGAACCUUGGGUUCCUGCCAACUUGCAGAAGAGGGACCUCUGCCUGAGCUGGGUGCAUCUGACUGUGUGCCCAGGUACAGAGCUGGCUUAGGUUGGCAGGUGAAGGAAGAAUUCCGGUCCCUGUCUAGUAUCACAUGGACCAGUUUCUGGCUUACAUGUCAGGGGUGGGGAUGGGCAGUUCCUGUUGUUUUGCCACCAUAACAAAGGUCAAAUCCCCACAUUCGGACUGACAAGGGUUUGCACUUAAUAUAAGAUGGUAGAGAGAGGGUGUCCUUACAGUCAAGGACAGAGGAAGGACUCCUGCCCCCUGAGCAGAGAAAGCCUAGGCUUGGGAGCUGUGUCUGAGAAGGAGAGCAGCAGACCUGCCUGCAUCUUUCUGAAAGCCUUCCCAGAAUUUUCUGUGUUUCCCCAAGCAAAAAAGAGGAGGCUGAUGGGCAGGCUGGCAAGCUUUGACGCUUGGGCUGAGCUGCCUCUAAAAGAAGUACUGGUGCCUCCAGCUAGCACAGAGGGCCAGAGAGAGAGGGCUUCAAGGUCCUUGCACUACCCAGGAACGGGUCCUGCAGUAUCACUGUGACAACAGCAGGGGGCCGAGGCUCCCGUAGGGAAGGACACUGGGCCCGGAAGUUUUCUUCUAGCAGACCACUUGCACCUGCUGUGGAUGGAUCCAGACACCUUCUCUUGGUGAAGAUCCUAGCUGCCAGAGUGAAGCCAGUGAUCAGGGGUGUGUGUUUCCAUAUCAUUUAGUUCCACCCUGCCCCGCCCCUGAAGGUCAAGGCCCUGGUGAAGUACCCUGGACUCAGCCAAGGUCUCACAGGCAUCCUGGGACACAUUCAUAUGUGCUGCAUCACAGGACUCACUCCAGAGUCUCACCUGCAUUUGCCACCUGGCACGCAACCUGUCUCAGGGAGGGGACACUGUAUGCAGGAAGGUGAACAUUUGCCUUUAGGCCAGUGGUUCUCGACCUGUGGCUUACGACCCCCUUGGGGGGUCAAAUGACCUAAAUUGUUUGCUUAAGACCAUCAGAAAACGCCUGGCAGUGGUGGCACACACCUUUAAUCCCAGCAUUUGGGAGGCAGAGGCAGGCAGAUUUCUGCCAGGUCUACAUUCAGCCUGGUCUACAUAGUGAGUUCCAGGACAGCCAGGGCUACACAGAGAAACCCUGUCUC